GACGAACGCUGGCGGCGUGCCUAAUACAUGCAAGUCGAACGCAGUGGGGACGGGUGAGUAACACGUGGGUAACCUCCCAUAAGAGGGGAUAACACUUGGAAACAGGUGCUAAACCGAUACUGAUGGAUGAACACGCGGUGCAUUAGCGAGUUGGUGAGGUAACGGCUCACCAAGGCCACUAUGCCUAGCCGCCCUGAGAGGGUGCACGGCCAGACUGGUACUGAGACAGUGCCCAGACUCCUACGGCAGGCAGACGUAGGGAAUCUUCGGCAAUUGACUAAAGUCUGACCGAGCAACGCCGCGUGAGUGAAUAAGGGUUUCGGAUCGUAAAACUCUGUUGUUAGAGAAGCGGUAUCUAACCAGAAAGCCACGGCGAACUACGUGCCAGCAGCCGCGGUAAGUC
rnacentral:rRNA from 1 species